GAUGAACGCUGGCGGCGUGCCUAAUACAUGCAAGUCGAGCGAACAGAAGAGGAGCUUGCUUCUCUUACGUUAGCGGCGGACGGGUGAGUAACACGUGGAUAACCUACCUAUAAGACUGGGAUAACUUCGGGAAACCGGAGCUAAUACCGGAUAAUAUAUUGAACCGCAUGGUUCAUUAGUGAAAGACGGUUUUGCUGUCACUUAUAGAUGGAUCCGCGCCGAAUUAGCUAGUUGGUAAGGUAACGGCUUACCAAGGCAACGAUGCGUAGCCGACCUGAGAGGGUGAUCGGCCACACUGGAACUGAGACACGGUCCAGACUCCUACGGGAGGCAGCAGUAGGGAAUCUUCCGCAAUGGGCGAAAGCCUGACGGAGCAACGCCGCGUGAGUGAUGAAGGUCUUCGGAUCGUAAAACUCUGUUAUUAGGGAGGAAGAAAUGUGUAAGUAACUAUGCACGUCUUGACGGUACCUAAUCAGAAAGCCACGGCUAACUACGUG
rnacentral:rRNA from 1 species